AGUGAACGCUGGCGGUAGGCCUAACACAUGCAAGUCGAACGGCAGCACAGUAAGAGCUUGCUCUUACGGGUGGCGAGUGGCGGACGGGUGAGGAAUACAUCGGAAUCUACUUUUUCGUGGGGGAUAACGUAGGGAAACUUACGCUAAUACCGCAUACGACCUACGGGUGAAAGCAGGGGAUCUUCGGACCUUGCGCGAUUGAAUGAGCCGAUGUCGGAUUAGCUAGUUGGCGGGGUAAAGGCCCACCAAGGCGACGACCCGUAGCUGGUCUGAGAGGAUGAUCAGCCACACUGGAACUGAGACACGGUCCAGACUCCUACGGGAGGCAGCAGUGGGGAAUAUUGGACAAUGGGCGCAAGCCUGAUCCAGCCAUACCGCGUGAGUGAAGAAGGCCUUCGGGUUGUAAAGCCCUUUUGUUGGGAAAGAAAAGCAGCAGGUUAAUACCCCGCUGUUCUGACGGUACCCAAAGAAUAAGCACCGGCUAACUUCGUG
rnacentral:rRNA from 1 species